UGCAGUCGCACGAGAAGGGACUUCGGUCCUGAGUACAGUGGCGCACGGGUGAGUAACACGUGAAUCAUCUACCUUCGAGUGGGGAAUAACUGAGAGAAAUCUUAGCUAAUACCGCAUAAUACCUACGGGUCAAAGCAGCAAUGCGCUUGAAGAGGAGUUCGCGGCAGAUUAGUUAGUUGGCGGGGUAAUGGCCCACCAAGACGAUGAUCUGUAUCCGGCCUGAGAGGGCGCACGGACACACUGGAACUGAAACACGGUCCAGACUCCUACGGGAGGCAGCAGUGGGGAAUUUUGCGCAAUGGGGGAAACCCUGACGCAGCAACGCCGCGUGGAGGAUGAAAUCCCUUGGGAUGUAAACUCCUUUCGAUAGGGAAGAUAAUGACGGUACCUAUAGAAGAAGCCCCGGCUAACUUCGUGCCAGCAGCCGCGGUAAUACGAGGGGGGCAAGCGUUGUUCGGAAUUAUUGGGCGUAAAGGGUGCGUAGGCGGUUUGACAAGUCUUAUGUGAAAUCUUCGGGCUCAACCCGAAGUCUGCAUGGGAAACUGUCGAGCUUGAGUAUGGGAGAGGUGAGUGGAAUUUCCCGGUGUAGCGGUGAAAUGCGUAGAUAUCGGAAGGAACACCUGUGGCGAAAGCGGCU
rnacentral:rRNA from 1 species